rnacentral:rRNA from 1 species
GAUGAACGCUGGCGGCGUGCUUAACACAUGCAAGUCGAACGAUGAAAGCGGGAGCUUGCUCCUGCUGGAUUAGUGGCGAACGGGUGAGUAACACGUGAGCAAUCUGCCCCGAACUCUGGGAUAAGCGUUGGAAACGACGUCUAAUACCGGAUACGACGCGCGAAGGCAUCUUCUGCGCGUGGAAAGAACUUCGGUUCGGGAUGAGCUCGGGGCCUAUCAGCUAGUUGGUGAGGUAACGGCCCACCAAGGCGACGACGGGUAGCCGGCCUGAGAGGGUGACCGGCCACACUGGGACUGAGACACGGCCCAGACUCCUACGGGAGGCAGCAGUGGGGGGUAUUGCACAAUGGGCGCAAGCCUGAUGCAGCAACGCCGCGUGAGGGACGACGGCCUUCGGGUUGUAAACCUCUUUUAGUAGGGAAGAAGCGAAAGUGACGGUACCUGCAGAAAAAGCACCGGCUAACUACGUGCCAGCAGCCGCCGUAAAAC